CAAAGCAGUUUAUGCCCCAGCAUCUGGGGCUUUCCUCUCUCUCCAUUUCAGGAGGAAGUGAGAUGCCUCCAGAGGCAGAUGUAUGAAGGAGCAGACCAGCAACCAGGGCUGUGACUCACCACUUCCACAGGAACCACACCUGGGGCAACAUCCAGCCCAGUGGCCACUCACCCUAAAGGCCUUCUUCACCAUGUGAAGGGGUUAGCAGGCCUGUGUCAGAUCUGCCUACCACCAUAAGGUGGGUAAGCUUCCGACACCAGACUGCAGGGCAGAAUUCCAAGGUUCAGGAAGCUCCGCUGACCCAGAGCUAACGCGGGCGAUCUUGGGAGAAGCCUGUAGAACUUCAUGAUGGCCUGUGCAGGUCACACAUGGGGAAAGUGGGGUUUGCAGGUGGGGGCCACAGAGGAAGCAUGACCCACCCAGGUGACAGUGGGAGACUCAAAUUCCCAGCAAACACUUGCCCUAAUGCACACAAUGGCCUCCCUUAUAGGUCACUGCAAGAGCUCCAUUGCCUGAAAAUGGAAGGAAUGAGAAAAGCCUGGUAUGGAAAGCCAGGAGGAGCCAGCCCUGCCAAGGGAUGAAGAUGUUGUUUGUACCAGGAUGGGUCCCAGCAGCACCAUCUGUUGGUGAGCUCACUUCAUUGAGAACAUCUUACACGAGAUUAGUCAGGUGUUGUUAAGAAAGAAGGAGAGAAAGAAAGACAGACAGACAGACAGAAAGAAAGAAAGAGAAGGAAGGAAAGGAAGAAAGAAAGAAAGAGAGAAAGAAAGAAAAGAGAAAGAAAGGAAGAAAGAGAGAGAAAAAGAAACAAAGAAAGAGAGAAAGGAAGAGAGAAAGAAAGGAAGAAAGAAAGAGAAAGAAAGAAAGAGACAGAAAGAAAAGAGAAAGAAAGAAAGAAGAAAGAGAAGGAAGGAAAGGAAGAAAGAAAGAAAGAGAGAAAGAAAGAGAAAGAAAGGAGAAAGAAAGGAAGAGAGAGAAAGAAAAGAGAAAAAAGAAACAAAGAAAAGAGAAAGAAAGAAAGAGAGAGAGAGAAAGAGAGAAAGAAACAAAGAAAGAGAGAAAGGAAGAGAGAAAGGAAGAAAGAAAGAACGAGAAAGAAAGAAAUAGAGACAGGAAGAAAGAAAAGAGAAAGAAAGAGAAAGAGAGAGAGAGAAAGAAGAAAGAUAAGGAAGGAAAGGAAGAAAGAAAGAAAAGAGAAAGAAAGAAAGGAAGAGAGAGAAAGAAAGAAAAGAGAAAGAAACAAAAGAGAAAGAAAGGAAGAGACAGAAAGAGAGAGAGAGAGAAAGAAACGAAAGAAGAAAGAAAGAAAGAAAGAAAGAAAGAAAGAAAGAAAGAAAGAAAGAAAGAAAAGGUGUUCAAGGACAUUUCCGGUGCAGGAUUGGUCACAUGAGGCAGCUACAAGGGAGCAAUAGGGGCAGGAACCCCGGGGGCCUCCCUGGGGCCAAGCCAAGAGCUGCAUGGGCUGCAGACACAGAGCUCUGCAGCUCAGGACUUUGCUUGACAGAAAUUGACCAGCCAGCACAGGGAAAUCUUUGGAAACUUUGGGCUCUCUGAAAGUUUCUGGAUUAUCUUUCCCCAUAUCCUACAUGUUCUUG
rnacentral:lncRNA from 1 species